rnacentral:rRNA from 1 species
CCCUUAGAUGUUCUGGGCCGCACGCGCGCUACACUGAUUCAAUCAACGAGUUUAUAACCUUGGCCGAAAGGUCUGGGUAAUCUCCAAAUUUCGUCGUGAUGGGGAUAGAUUAUUGCAAUUAUUAAUCUUCAACGAGGAAUGCCUAGUAAGCGCAAGUCAUCAGCUUGCGUUGAUUACGUCCCUGCCCUUUGUACACACCGCCCGUCGCUCCUACCGAUUGAAUGGUCCGGUGAAGCGUUCGGACCGUGGCCUUUGGACGGUUCGCCGUCUGUUGGCUGCGGGAAGUUCGUUAAACCUUAUCAUUUAGAGGAAGGAGAAGUCGUAACA